CUCCUGUGAUGAACUUUGCUUUGUGCCAUCGUGUCUGGGCCACUGAUGCUCCGCGAUGGUAAUGAGGAUCUGAGGGG
rnacentral:snoRNA from 1 species